rnacentral:rRNA from 1 species
GACGAACGCUGGCGGCGUGCCUAAUACAUGCAAGUAGAACGCACAGUUUAUACCGUAGCUUGCUACACCAUAAACUGUGAGUUGCGAACGGGUGAGUAACGCGUAGGUAACCUGCCUGGUAGCGGGGGAUAACUAUUGGAAACGAUAGCUAAUACCGCAUAAUAUUAAUUAUUGCAUGAUAAUUGAUUGAAAGAUGCAAUUGCAUCACUACCAGAUGGACCUGCGUUGUAUUAGCUAGUAGGUGAGGUAACGGCUCACCUAGGCGACGAUACAUAGCCGACCUGAGAGGGUGAUCGGCCACACUGGGACUGAGACACGGCCCAGACUCCUACGGGAGGCAGCAGUAGGGAAUCUUCGGCAAUGGACGAAAGUCUGACCGAGCAACGCCGCGUGAGUGAAGAAGGUUUUCGGAUCGUAAAGCUCUGUUGUAAGAGAAGAACGGGCGUGAGAGUGGAAAGUUCACACUGUGACGGUAUCUUACCAGAAAGGGACGGCUAACUACGUG